GAUUCAUUACCCUUGAAGCUCAUCCUUGUUUACAAAAGGGAUUCACCCAAGUGGAGGGCCUUCAAGUCACCUCCUAGCUCCUUGGAUCUUCCUUGUGAUUUCCUUCCUUUUGAUGCUCCUUUGCUCCUUGAGGAUGUGAGGAAAGGAUCUCCAAAAAUACCAAAUAUUUGGUGUCUCUAAGUCUCCACACCAAGGAUGAGGUGUGAAGAUAAAAUGGAUGACUUAGAGAAGAAAAUAUUGCUAGCUAAAUCCUCUCUAAGUGGCCGGCCUCCUUGUAGAGAAAAGAGAGAAAAUGUUUCACCUCUUUUGCCUUAAACAAAACCCUAAUGAGAAAAUAGCUAUAAAGUUAAAUUUAUACUACAUCACAUUUCAGUGGCAAACUUGUAAUUAAUUUAAGUUUGCAUCCACUCACCCUUAUGGCCGGCCUUGUCAUUGUUAUUGGGCUAAUUGCCCAUUUUGUUUUAGUUGUCAUACAACUUAAACAUAAUGGGCUUUGUGGGCCAAAACAAUUUUGGGCCCUGAAACCCAAAACCAACUUAAAAGCCCAAUACGAACCUUUCGUAAAAUUAAUUAACUAAUUAAUUAAUCUUGACAAUUCUCAAUUAAACUAUUUAAUUGCUUAUCCAUCUCAUUUAUAUUUCUUCACUUUCAUCCUUACUCGGUGUACGAUCCAUUAGGUUCCAAUUAGCGAGGCAGUGGCGAUUGUUACUCUUAACGAUCGAUUGUGAAUUGAAACAACAUUUCAAUUCUCCCUUUGUUGAAGAUUAGUGUUUGCUAAUCUUUAGGGCUUCCACAAACCAUGAGUGACACCUAGCAGCAUGUCAUGGCUACCCAAGCUAAAUAGAAUUGGUUGGAGAACCUAUCUAGUUACAAUUUCAAUGCAAUACGGUCCUUCUCUAAUAUAAUACUCUUAAUCACAUUGUUUGAGUGAUAGUUUGUUUCAUGUCUACUAUCCAA
rnacentral:lncRNA from 1 species